GUUGGAGUAUUUUAUUUUAAAAUAUUAAGGUGCAAACUUGAAAUAGGAUAAUUUAUCCCUCCAACU
rnacentral:tRNA from 1 species